rnacentral:lncRNA from 1 species
UUAUGGUCCAAUCGGUAUGCCUAUCUCGGCUGUUAGAUGCUUCAUUAAGGAUUGCAUACUCAAUAUAAAUUAAUGCGCAAAAUCGGUGCCACUCUGGAAGCAUUUGGCAGUUUUAGCCCAAUAUCUCUCUGUCUGUCGCUUAUCACGCCAUUUUGAGGCCAUAAUAUUUCCUCUAAGACAUGUAGGAAGCAUUGUAAUCAUUUUCGGGCCAUUCCGAGCGGG